AUGGCCUACCAAGGCUAUGACGGGUAGCUGGUCUGAGAGGAUGGUCAGCCACACUGGGACUGAGACACGGCCCAGACUCCUACGGGAGGCAGCAGUGAGGAAUCUUGGGCAAUGGGCGAAAGCCUGACCCAGCGACGCCGCGUGGAGGAAGAAGGCCUUCGGGUCGUAAACUCCUGUUUGGGGAGAAGAACAAGAGAGAAGUUAAUAGCUUCUCUCUCUGACGGUAUCCCCGGAGAAAGCUCCGGCUAAUUACGUGCCAGCAGCCGCGGUAAUACGUAAGGAGCGAGCGUUGUCCGGAUUUACUGGGCGUAAAGGGCUCGUAGGUGGUUUCUUAGGUCUCACGUGAAAUUCCCUGGCUCAACCAGGGAGGGUCGUGGGAAACCGAGAGGCUAGAGGGCAGGAGAGGAGAGUGGAAUUCCCGGUGUAGCGGUGAAAUGCGUAGAGAUCGGGAGGAACACCAGUGGUGAAGACGGCUCUCUGGACUGUCCCUGACACUGAGGAGCGAAAGCCAGGGGAGCAAACCGGAUUAGAUACCCGGGUAGUCCUGGCCGUAAACGAUGGGUACUAGGUGUGGGGGGUUCGACCCCCUCCGUGCCGCAGUUAACGCAUUAAGUACC
rnacentral:rRNA from 1 species